UCCAGAAAUUCAGCUAUUUUUUCAUUUCCACUGACAGUUCCUCUCUGUGCCAGCACUAGGAUAUCUGCAUGUAAACACAUUUCUGGUGUUCCUGAAGCUACAUCUGAGAGAAACACACUGAAGAUGGAAGGUGAAAACAGAGCAGCAUUGGACUUUAAGCUGUCUGGAAGCAGAAUUUGGACUUUCUUCUUCCAAUUCACUGAAUGGAUGGAGUCAACAGCAGAAAAUUAUAACUACCCAUGUGCUUACCAUGUGCCUAGAAUAAAUUUAAAGCAAUUCAAGAUAAUUUCUGGAGGUGAAGUUGGUCUUUUGGGGUAUAGGUCACGUCCUUAUGUUUCGUUGAAGGCCAGCUGCCUGCUGUGUGUGAGGACAUGGCUGUACUGCUGAAGGCUGUUGCUGUUCAACUUGUAUCCAUUAUGUCCCGGUGGUUCUGGGUGCUCCUCGUGAGUGAGAACAUUACUGAGACCCUAUUCUUCACCAGCUUUGGGAAAUUCAGUGGUUUCGGGACAUGAAAUGCAGGAAGAGAUCUUCAUAGCCCUGUAACAGAAGCUGGUGCUGGCUUUCAGCUGACAAAGGUCCUGACAGCCCUCUGUCUACCUCUCUUCCCAAAGGGAUUCUUGAAGAAAGGUAUCAGGAAAGAUGUUCUUGAAGCAAGCCAUAAAGAAAGGUGUUCUGUGAUGAGAUAUACAUGAACUCACUUUGAAAAGGGAGGGGAUUCAUCAGUUCCCAUGAACCUGACCUGUGAUGCUGCGCUUGCAGAAAGGGAUCAGGAAGUAUUGAAAGACUGGGAAGAUGCUCAAACCUCUAAUAUUUUCGCCAUGAAAAAACCUUGUAUAGGAACAGCUUAAGGAAGUUGCCUGUUGGAGCCUCUUAAGGGAAGUUGAUGAGGGAAACAAGAUGGAAGACUUAUCCCUUACUGCUUGUGGAUUACAUGCAACAGGGUAUCUUUCCUGAAGUAGUGACUAGGCAAAUUUUUUUGGUUUUUUGGUAUCUCACUGUGUUGGUAUCAGGCUUGGAGGUACUUGGGCUGUGUACACAGACACAGAUGGCUUAUUAAGCAUAAA